rnacentral:rRNA from 1 species
GAGUUUGAUCCUGGCUCAGGACGAACGCUGGCGGCGCGCUUAACACAUGCAAGUCGAGCGAGAACCUGUCCUUCGGGACAGGGACAGCGGCGAACGGGUGGAGUAACACGUGGGUAAUCAACCCCUGGCUCCGGGAUAGCCCGAGGAAACUCGGAUUAAUACCGGAUGGCCCAACAGCUCUUCGGGGCGGUUGGAAAAGGUAGCUGCGGCCUCCGGCCAAGGACGAGCCCGCGGCGGAUUAGCUUGUUGGUGGGGUAACGGCCUACCAAGGCGACGAUCUGUAGCUGGUCUGAGAGGACGAUCAGCCACACUGGGACGUGAGACACGGCCCACGACUCCUACGGGAGGCAGCAGUGGGGAAUCUUGCACAAUGGGCGGCAAGCCUGAUGCAGCGACGCCGCGUGAGGGAA